rnacentral:rRNA from 1 species
UGGGGAAUAUUGCACAAUGGGGGAAACCCUGAUGCAGCGACGCCGCGUGAGCGAAGAAGGCUUUCGAGUCGUAAAGCCCUGUCCUAUGAGAAGAUAAUGACGGUAUCAUAGGAGGAAGCCCUGGCUAAAUACGUGCCAGCAGCCGCGGUAAUACGUAUGGGGCGAGCGUUGUCCGGAAUUAUUGGGCGUAAAGGGUACGUAGGUGGUUUUUUAAGUCAGGUGUCAAAGCGUGGAGCUUAACUCCAUUAAGCACUUGAAACUGAAAGACUUGAGUGAAGGAGAGGAAAGUGGAAUUCCUAGUGUAGCGGUGAAAUGCGUAGAUAUUAGGAGGAAUACCGGUGGCGAAGGCGACUUUCUGGACUUUUACUGACGCUCAGGUACGAAAGCGUGGGGAGCAAACAGG